rnacentral:tRNA from 1 species
AAGCUUAGGAUAAAUCAAACCAAGGGCCUUCAAAGCUCUAAACAAGAGUACCAACCUCUUAGCCUCUGCUU